GGGAGUGACGUCAAAUCAUCAUGCCCCUUAUGUUCUGGGCUACACACGUGCUACAAUGGCCGGUACAGACGGAGGCGAAGCCGCGAGGCGGAGCAAAUCCGAAAAAGCCGGUCUCAGUUCGGAUUGCAGGCUGCAAUUCGCCUGCAUGAAGUCGGAAUCGCUAGUAAUCGCAGGUCAGCAUACUGCGGUCGAAUACGUUCCCGGGCCUU
rnacentral:rRNA from 1 species